GGCAAGUGUAAAUGCUGCACUGUUUGUAAAAACACUGACCCCGCUGUACUGUCCAAAACUACCCAUUUUAUUUAAAAAAGAACCAAUAAAACAUACAUUAUAAAUGAUUUUAUUAGCUGUAAUACAAAAAAACGUGAUUUAUUUACUUGAGUGCCCCUGUGGUCAACAGUAUGUCGGAAUGACCACAAGGAGCCUAAAAAUUAGAUUAGGUGAGCACUGCAGGAAUAUUAGUAAAAGAUAUCCAAACCACUCUGUAUCCAAACAUUUCCUCAUUCACAAUAAGGAUCCCAACUUUUUAAAAUGUAUCGGAAUAAUUUUUUUUUUACCAUCCCCUGGAGAGGGGACAACAUAAAAAAAUAUCUUUGGGAAAUCAGAGAUGGAGUGGGUGUUUAAUUUACAAACCCUGACACCCUAUGGUCUUAACACAGAGUUUGACCUUUUUAAUUUUUUCUUAUAACUUUAUUAUUUUUUAUGAUCUUUUAUUCUCAUCCUGUCAUCUUCCUAAACAAUACACUAAUCAAAUGCUGACAGCUCUAUUUUGAGGUCGGGCAGUACGAUAAUUUUGCCAACAUCGCAUACAUCAUAUUGAAAACUACAACUCCAUGAAGGCUUAGCGGCCAAUACUAUGAUGCGGGUCACAUGUCCCGGCUUUAGAAGCCGCUAUUAUACUUAAUACACUUGGUUUAUACAAUAUAGUCAUAUACCUUCACCUCCCGUCAAAUGGUGUAUCAUAUUAUAUGUAUUAUUUUCAGACUUUUACCUUACAAAAAGAGAUUGUAUUUUAUUAGACAACAGCCAAUGACUGAUUUUUGGCACCAAUUUUAAAUUACCAUAUCUCUAUUUGCAGCCAGGAUGCAUGUUUUUUUACCCCAUUUGAAAAAGCCACAACGGCAAAACGCGUUAUUGAAUGUUUUAUUUUGUAUUUAAAUAAAGGAAUUAUUUUGGACAAAUAUACCUAGGUUUGUGCCAAUUUCCUUUAAUUAUUCAAAAGCAAUUUAAAAAGAAAAUUUUUGUUACAUGGCUUUUUAACCACCACUCUAAAGAAAUCCGAGGUGGGGAUCAUAUCACCAGAGCCGAUACCACAGAAAAGUCAGCCUGCUCUACGUUGUGUGUGAGUAUAAUUUAUAUAUCUUUUUACACUUGGUUUAUAUCUUAUUGAGAGCACUAUUGUUGCCCCCCAAAAUUUGUUGUCGUUUGAGCUUGAGCUCACCCAAAGACUGAGGAUUCCUACAGUAUAUCCCGAAGUUGGGAUUCUACCACUACAAGCGCUAGAUGUUAGAGCUAGUUAUAGCUCCGACAAAUGUGAGUGCAUUAUUAUUAUUAUUCCACCAUAACCACUUUAUAUGAUCCAUAUUGCACUACUAGGUCCUUUCUCUCUUCUCUCCGUUUCAUAUGACUGAAUAUUGGAGAGACUGAUUAAGGACAUCAUUCCCAAGCUUUAAGAAUUCACAUCUCCCGUUGAAUAUACCAUAAAGACACCAUCUGGUGUGAACCUAAAGGUUUUCUUUUAUACCUCUUGACUUCCUGCCAUUGACUAAAUUCCAUUACUCCCUGUGGUUCAGCCCCUAUUUAUCUUUAUAUAUAUAUAUAUAAAUCUGUAGAUGUGUGUGUGUAUAUAUAUAUACAUAUAUAUAUAUAUAUAUAUAUAUAUAUAUAUAUAUAUAUAUAUAUAUAUAUACACAGUUGCAAGAAAAAGUAUGUGAACCCUUUGGAAUGAUAUGGAUUUCUGCACAAAUUGGUCAUAAAAUGUGAUCUGAUCAUCAUCUAAGUCACAACAAUAGACAAUCACAGUCUGCUUAAACUGAUAACACACAAAGAAUGAAAUGGUGCCAUGUUUUUAUUGAACACACCAUGUAAACAUUCACAGUGCAGGUGGAA